AAAUACCAUAUUUAACUUGCACGUUUAAAAUGUUUACGUUAGUAUAAAAGACAAAACUAUCACAAACACUUCACAGAACCAUACAAAAUGAAGUUAAUUCUAUUUUUCUUGAUCGUAUCAAUUUCCGCUGUUCUUAGCGAGGAAGUUUUAAAGAAACCUAACGUUAUGUGCAUAAUAACAGCUAUUGUUAAUUUCGCAAAAUGCCUGAAACAAGGUAACAGGUUCCUUUUCAAUUCGAGCGAAAGUAUGGAGUUCGAUCCGAGUCCAGUUUCAGAAUGUGUCUCAAAGUUGGUAGAAGAACUUACGGCUUGUGUGUAAUUCGAUAAUAACAUGGCGAUCGCAUUAUAUUCUGCAAUUUGAACAUUGAAAAUAAAUGUCUCAUUAAGCAA